UUAAACCCCGAGAAGUGAUUUUAUAACUCAAAAAUAAUGAGUGAAGUUUUGACACAAAACAACAUAACCUCAUUUUUUAAUAUUGUCGAUUUAAAUUAUUUGUGGGGUGAUUUAAUUAAGACAAAAAGGAAAAGUCACUUUCUAACUGGCUCCAUCUGUUGGCGAUUAAUCAUAUCAAAUUAUACUUUGACGUUUGAAAUUGUUUACAUCUUUUUAAGAUAAUUUUACCAUAAAAAGAAGUCAAAUUGAACCGAACGAAGAUUCAAAAUACGUUUUUAGACACCAAAACUACUGAUAUCAAGUGAUUUAAUCCCUGAGAAGUAAUUUUAUAACUCAAAAAUAAUGAGUGAAGUUUUGACACAAAACAACAUAACCUCAAUUUUUAAUAUUGUCGAUUUAAAUUAUUUGUGGGGUGAUUUAAUUAAGACAAAAAGGAAAAGUCACUUACUAACUGGCUCCAUCUAUUGGCGGUUAAUCAUAUCAAAUUAUAGUUUGACGUUUAAAAUUGUUUACAUCCUUUUUAAGAUAGUUUUACAUCAAAAAGAAGUCAAAUUGAACCGAACGAAGACUCAAAAUGCGUUUUUAGAUACCAAAACUAUUUAUAUCAAGUGAUUUAAACCCUGAGAAGUGAUUUUAUUACUCAAAAAUAAUGAGUGAAGUUUUGACACAAAACAACAUAACCUCACUUUUUAAUCUUGUCGAUUUAAAUUAUUUGUGGGGUGACUUAUUUAAGAAAAAACGGUGAGUCGAUUAAUUCUAUUAAUGUUAAAUCAUUAAUUCCACAAAUUAUAACUUUCAAAUAAAAUAUUUUUUUUAGGAAAAGUGCUCCA